rnacentral:rRNA from 1 species
UGGGGAAUUUUGGACAAUGGGCGAAAGCCUGAUCCAGCAAUGCCGCGUGUGUGAAGAAGGCCUUCGGGUUGUAAAGCACUUUUGUCCGGAAAGAAAUCCUUGGCUCUAAUACAGUCGGGGGAUGACGGUACCGGAAGAAUAAGCACCGGCUAACUACGUGCCAGCAGCCGCGGUAAUACGUAGGGUGCAAGCGUUAAUCGGAAUUACUGGGCGUAAAGCGUGCGCAGGCGGUUUGCUAAGACCGAUGUGAAAUCCCCGGGCUCAACCUGGGAACUGCAUUGGUGACUGGCAGGCUAGAGUAUGGCAGAGGGGGGUAGAAUUCCACGUGUAGCAGUGAAAUGCGUAGAGAUGUGGAGGAAUACCGAUGGCGAAGGCAGCCCCCUGGGCCAAUACUGACGCUCAUGCACGAAAAGCGUGGGGAGCAAACAGGAUUAGAUACCCUGGUAGUCCACGCCCUAAACGAUGUCAACUAGUUGUUGGGGAUUCAUUUCCUUAGUAACGUAGCUAACGCGUGAAGUUGACCGCCUGGGGGAGUACGGUCGCAAGAUUAAAACUUAAAUGAAUAUGACGGGGUCAUAGCUGUUUCCU